AAUGAACGCUGGCGGCGUGCUUAACACAUGCAAGUCGUGCGCGAAGGUGGCUUCGGCCACCGGAGAGCGGCGGACGGGUGAGUAACACGUGGGUAAUCUGCCUGGGAGCGGGGGAUAACCUGGGGAAACUCGGGCUAAUACCGCAUACGUUUGCGAGAUCAUGGUCUCGUCAAGAAAGCUGGCCUCUGCUUGCAAGCUAGCACUCCCAGAGGAGCCCGCGGCNGAUUAGCUAGUUGGUGAGGUAAUGGCUCGCCAAGGCGACGAUCAGUACGCC
rnacentral:rRNA from 1 species